CGGCAGACGGGUGAGUAACGCGUGGGAACAUACCUCUUGGUUCGGAACAACACAGGGAAACUUGUGCUAAUACCGGAUAAGCCCUUACGGGGAAAGAUUUAUCGCCGAGAGAUUGGCCCGCGUCUGAUUAGCUAGUUGGUGUGGUAAAAGCGCACCAAGGCGACGAUCAGUAGCUGGUCUGAGAGGAUGAUCAGCCACAUUGGGACUGAGACACGGCCCAA
rnacentral:rRNA from 1 species